rnacentral:rRNA from 1 species
UACGUAGGGGGCAAGCGUUGUCCGGAUUUAUUGGGCGUAAAGAGCGUGUAGGCGGCCUGACAGGUCUGCUGUGAAAACUCGAGGCUCAACCUCGAGAUGUCAGCGGAAACCGUCUGGCUAGAGUCCGGAAGAGGAGAGUGGAAUUCCUGGUGUAGCGGUGAAAUGCGCAGAUAUCAGGAGGAACACCAAUGGCGAAGGCAGCUCGCUGGGACGUGACUGACGCUGAGACGCGAAAGCGUGGGGAGCAAACAGG